rnacentral:rRNA from 1 species
GAUGAACGCUGGCGGCGUGCCUAAUACAUGCAAGUCGAACGCUUCACUUCGGUUAAGAGUGGCAAACGGGGGAGUAAUACAUAAGUAACCUGGCAUCUACAGGGGGAUAACUGAUGGAAACGUCAGCUAAGACCGCAUAGGUGUAGAGAUCGCAUGAACACUAUAUGAAAAGUGCUACGGGACUGGUAGAUGAUGGACUUAUGGCGCAUUAUCUUGUUGGUAGGGUAGCGGCCUACCAAGGCGACGAUGCGUAGCCGACCUGAGAGGGUGACCGGCCACACUGGGACUGAGACACGGCCCAGACUCCUACGGGAGGCAGCAGUAGCGCAUUCUCGGGGAUGGAGGAAACACUAACCGACCAACGCCGCAUGACGGAAGAAGUAAUUCGUUAUGUAAAAUUCUGUCAUAGAGGAAGAACGGUGGUUACAGCGAAUGAUAUCAAAGUGACGGUACUCUAUAAGAAAGCCACGGCUAACUACGUG